UAAUGACCCUAGCAGUUACAGAGGUGAACCCCAUAUUGAUAGUAUUAAUUGUCGAUGGUGAUAAAAAUGGAUUUUGUGAUCCUAUGUAUAAGGUGACAAUUUGUAUGUAGAUUGUCUUUAAUAUGCUGAAAAGCGAAAUGGCUUUAUAAAUCCCAAUAAACAGACCUGUGUACUGUGAUAGCUACAAGUUUAAUCACACCAAUAGACAGUUUUAGAAUUAUUGCAACUCCAUCUCUCUCUCUCAUACUCCUUUCUCUAUUUUGUAGACAACUGUAUCAAGUGCCAGUGGGUUGUACGACCUCGACAGGAAGCUAUACAGUGUGAGCAUUGUGAACGUUGGCAACACCGAACAUGUAAUUCAGGAAUCACUAGACAACGGUAUCGGGAACUGGCUAGACAACGGGAGAGUUUUGAGUGGACAUGUGCUGACUGCAGCGGAACUACAGAGGCAGCAGCAGUUGAUGAAUCAGCAGAAACAGUUGCAGAUGAACCUGUCAAUGCCACCUUCCGCCUAUCCCUGUCUG